UUUUCUAAAAAAAAAUAAAAUCUCUGUUGCACCCGUUGCGCCAAAAAUCUCCGUUGCGUAUUUUAGUGGUACCCCUAAACCGGAAGUACAUGUGACGAAACGUCCGCCAUGACGUUCAAGAAAAUUGAGAAAUUGUGUAACAUAAACUCGUAUUUCAUAACAAAGAAGUGGAGAUGAAUACAAUUAUCGGUGUGCUUCGUUGAAACAGGAAGAGGAUUAUCCAUCUAUUGUAUUGGGAGUGUUUGUGGAGCAUCCAACACCAUUUCUUAGAGAAGCCUUACAGAAGAUUGCAGCAUUAGAUUAUCCUAAACAGAAAAUUGAUUUCUUUAUUCAUUCAUCUUUACUAGAAAUCACCAGAAUGAGAUAGAUUUAUUCUUGAACAAGGUUGGAAUAUUAAGUCUGUCAAUGCUAUAGGUUCAUAUGACAGUAUUGGUGAAGCAGCAGCCAGGAACUGGGCCAUGCGGACAUGUUAUGACGUCAUCGUAAAAAAUCGAUUCCGUGAAAGCUGGUAGUAGCCACCAGUGUGUCUAGCAGACAGAGUUUUACAGACUAAUUAUUUAGGACAGUUGAAAAUCCAGUUCAGGGUGUAUUGCUUGUCAGGAAGAUACCAUUAAUCAUGGGAAA